AUGAUGUAUCAUAGCUUUGAUUCAGCAGUCGAUGACCCUCAUAACUAUUAUCCAUCUGAGUUCCUUAACACUUUGACCCCUAAUGGGCUGCAUCCACAUGUAUUGAAGCUCAAGAUAAACUGCCCUAUUAUAUUGCUCAGAAAUAUUGACCCCUUGAAUGGACUUUGCAAUGGCACGAGGCUGGUGGUUCGAGGAUGCCAGAGGAAUGUCAUCGAUGCAGAAAUUGUGCUAGGGCAACAUGAUGGAAAGAGGAUCUUCUUGCCAAGGAUCCCCCUUUGUCCCAGUGACGACGAGAUGUUCCCUUUCCAGUUCAAGAGGAAGCAGUUUCCUAUUAGGCUCAGCUUUGCCAUGACAGUCAACAAGGCACGGGGGCAGACUAUCCCGAACGCGGUUAUAUACUUGCCCGAGCCAGUGUUCUCUCAUGGGCAGUUGUAUGUCGCGCUAUCUAGAUCCACUUCUAGAAAGAACAUCAAGAUCCUUAUCGCCGCGACUACAGACAAUGAGAAAAAUGUCUCAGAUGAUAGUAGAAGGAAUAGCUCAAAUUAUAGCAAAAAAAAGAGCUCCAACAAUAAGAAAAAGACCUCAGACUAUUGCAGCAUGAAUAGCUCAAAUUACUGCAAAAACAAGAGCUCCAACUGUCCUGUUGGUAAUUACACGAGGAACAUCGUCUAUAGGGAGGUACUUACAUCAUAG
rnacentral:rRNA from 1 species